rnacentral:rRNA from 1 species
CUUAAAGAUUCGUGGCCCGGUAGUUUACGCACAUUAAGCGCCCCCGCCCUGGGGAGUUACGGCCCGGCAAGGCUAAAACUCCAAAGGGAAUUGACCGGGGGCCCGCACAAGCCGGCGGAGCAUGGUGGAUUAAUUCGAUGCAACGCGAAGAACCUUACCUGGGUUUGACAUAUACCGGACGACUGCAGAGAUGUGGUUUCCCUUGUGGUCGGUAUACAGGUGGUGCAUGGCUGUCGUCAGCUCGUGUCGUGAGAUGUUGGGUUAAGUCCCGCAACGAGCGCAACCCUUGUCCUGUGUUGCCAGCACGUAAUGGUGGGGACUCGCAGGAGACUGCCGGGGUCAACUCGGAGGAAGGUGGGGACGACGUCAAGUCAUCAUGCCCCUUAUGUCCAGGGCUUCACACAUGCUACAAUGGCUGGUACAGAGGGCUGCGAUACCGUGAGGUGGAGCGAAUCCCUUAAAGCCGGUCUCAGUUCGGAUCGGGGUCUGCAACUCGACCCCGUGAAGUCGGAGUCGCUAGUAAUCGCAGAUCAGCAACGCUGCGGUGAAUACGUUCCCGGGCCUUGUACACACCGCCCGUCAAGUCAUGAAAGUCGGUAACACCUAGAAGUCCGGUGGCCUAACCCAAGUGGGAGCGAGCCGUCCAAUAGUGAUUAGCCCC